rnacentral:rRNA from 1 species
CAGUAGCCGCGGGAAUACGUAGGUCCCGAGCGUUGUCCGGAUUUAUUGGGCGUAAAGCGAGCGCAGGCGGUUAGAUAAGUCUGAAGUUAAAGGCUGUGGCUUAACCAAUGUAUGCUUUGGAAACUGUUUGACUUGAGUGCAGAAGGGGAGAGUGGAAUUCCAUGUGUAGCGGAGAAAUGCGUAGAUAUAUGGAGGAACACCGGUGGCGAAAGCGGCUCUCUGGUCUGUCACUGACGCUGAGGCUCGAAAGCGUGGGUAGCGAACAGGAUUAGAUACCCCUGUAGUCCCUGUCUCUUAUACA